rnacentral:rRNA from 1 species
UAACGAAUCUUCCGCAAUGCACGAAAGUGUGACGGAGCGACGCCGCGUGUGGGACGAAGUUCUUCGGAAUGUAAACCACUGUCAGGGGUUAGAAAGUUCUGAUCAACCCCAGAGGAAGGCACGGCUAACUCUGUGCCAGCAGCCGCGGUAAUACAGAGGUGCCAAGCGUUAGGCGGAAUCACUGGGCUUAAAGCGUGUGUAGGCGGAAUUCUAAGUGCCUUGUGAAAUCCCACGGCUCAACCGUGGAACUGCUCGGUAUACUGGAAUUCUUGAGCCACUUAGGGGCGACCGGAACAAAUGGUGGAGCGGUGAAAUGCGUAGAUAUCAUUUGGAACGCCAACGGUGAAAACAGGUCGCUGGGAGUGUGCUGACGCUGAGACACGAAAGCUAGGGGAGCAAACGGGAUUAGAUACCCCCGUAGUCC